UUCUCUCUCUUGAAGAAACAGGUACCUACGAUUGUAAAAGCUUUACACCGACAGCUAAAGGAGAAAAGCAUGAGAUGUAGGCAAAGCUGCUUCAGUCUCCUGACAGAGAUGACAAAUGUACUGCCUGGUCAACUGGGAGAACACAUACCAGCCCUCAUUCCAGAUAUUAUUUACUCAUUGACAGACAAGUCAACCUCUUCAAAUCUGAAAAUUGACGCCUUGCUUUCCUCAAU